CGGCCGGGAACUCAAAGGAGACUGCCAGUGAUAAACUGGAGGAAGGUGGGGAUGACGUCAAGUCAUCAUGGCCCUUACGACCAGGGCUACACACGUGCUACAAUGGCAUAUACAAAGAGAAGCGACCUCGCGAGAGCAAGCGGACCUCAUAAAGUAUGUCGUAGUCCGGAUUGGAGUCUGCAACUCGACUCCAUGAAGUCGGAAUCGCUAGUAAUCGUAGAUCAGAAUGCUACGGUGAAUACGUUCCCGGGCCUUGUACACACCGCCCGUCACACCAUGGGAGUGGGUUGCAAAAGAAGUAGGUAGCUUAACCUUCGGGAGGGCGCUUACCACUUUGUGAUUCAUGACUGGGGUGAAGUCGUAACAAGGUAACCGUAGGGGAACCUGCGGUUGGAUCACCUCCUU
rnacentral:rRNA from 3 species